GUCCAAAACAGGUGUUCUGACUGGAGGACAAGCUACCAAUUAACUAGGAACAAUUUAGUGCAAAGAGAUGGAAAACAAAUAGAAUGCAGAUAAAAAAGGUCACACAGAAGCUAAAUUAUCUGUUGGUUCAUUCUUAUCCCAGGCCAAUUAUUCCAAUUGUGUUGAGAGCCAUAUAAAUCAAGUCUAACUAUCCCAAGUCUUCUAAGAAGCUAUCCUUUAGUUGGAGUCCAACUGAGUAGGACUAGAAAAAUAUCGAGGAGUCCAGUAUUGUAUUCUGGGAAGAAUUAUCAUGACUUACAUUUCCAAAAAAUUUUAUGGCUUGCAUAUUUAAGUCCUGUAAGAUUUAUUAUGCUCAUUCUGAAGAUGAAAAAGCUGAGACUCAGAGGGGAUGAAGUGAUUGUCUGUCAGCUCAGUGUUUAAGAGUCUAAUUUUAGACAACUCUUGCAAAAUCAACAAAUCUGCAAAUAUUUAUUGAAGACCUGUUGUGUGCCCAGCAUUCUCUUUUCAAAUAAAAACAUUUUAAUUAGUCCUGAAUUAUCUUGC
ensembl:lncRNA